UGGGGAAUAUUGCGCAAUGGACGAAAGUCUGACGCAGCAACGCCGCGUGAGUGAUGAAGGCCUUCGGGUCGUAAAGCUCUGUCGGCAGGAACGAUGGGUUGGUGUUUUAAUAAAGCAUCAGCUUGACGGUACCUGCAAAGGAAGCACCGGCUAACUCUGUGCCAGCAGCCGCGGUAAGACAGAGGGUGCAAGCGUUGUUCGGAAUUAUUGGGCGUAAAGCGCGCGUAGGCGGCUUGAUAAGUUGAAUGUGAAAUCCCUGGGCUCAACCCAGGACGUGCAUUCAAAACUGCCAAGCUUGAAUCUCGGAGAGGGUGGUGGAAUUCCCAGUGUAGAGGUGAAAUUCGUAGAUAUUGGGAGGAACAUCAGUGGCGAAGGCGACCACCUGGACGAAGAUUGACGCUGAGGCGCGAAAGCGUGGGUAGCAAACAGG
rnacentral:rRNA from 1 species